GUCCACGCUGUAACGAUGGGUACUAGACUAAGUGGGAAUUGACCCCUGCUGAGUCGGAGCUAACGCAAUAAGUACCCCGCCUGGGAAGUACGGUCGCAAGACUAAACUCAAGGAAUUGACGGGGCCCGCACAAGCGGUGGAUCAUGUGGUUUAAUUCGAAGCAACGCGAAACCUUAACCUGGGUUUGACAUCCUUGGACCGCUGUAGAAAUACAGUUUUGUAGCAAUACAACCAAGAGACAGGUGCUGCAUGGCUGUCGU
rnacentral:rRNA from 1 species